UUUCUGUGCACCCCUGGCAGUUCUAUAACAAAUGUUUUAAAAAAUGUAAGUGUACACUUUUUGCUCUUUCAGAUUGCAGCCAUAUCGUCGGGGGAAAGGACGAGUAUUACCCGGUGAAGCAAGUUUUAAAGACAAAAAUCCAGAAGGGGAAACAAAUAGAGCUGGUGGAGUGGGAACCAUGUUCCAUGUGUGGGAAGACGUGGCCUCCACAGUGGGUGGCAAAGGAGAAUACAAAGAACUAAAACAGCUACCUUCAGUGUUCUGUGGGCUGCUGUCCUUUUCCUUUUUUAUAAUAUUUUGUUAAUUUAUUAU